UGGAGGAGCAGGCAAUCCCCUCCUGCCCUCCCCAUUAUCCCAGUUCUAACAUCAAGUAGGCCUUUGUGGUAUUAAAUCUGAUUGACAGGGUAGAAUUUUACAAGUGGAAAUGGCCAAGAAUGACAUCUCCAACGGAAAGGACAGCAGCAUGGGCAAAGACAGAGAAUUUGCCUCUGGCCUUAGCAACACCUCGUUUCGUCUGGCUUGUCUUGAGUUGCUUCGAGCUAUUCUGCACCCUGCACAUGUGGCCACGAAGGAGACUCGCUCCUUGCUCUACUGAGGCCUUGGUUCAGGUGAGAGAGAAACAGACAAACACACAUUCCAGCGGAGUGCUAAGUGCUGUAGUGAAAAGCAAAGCUGGGGGGAGGCUGGGCUCUGGCCCAACAGAACUGGAGAGGCCCAGGCAGGUGGGCACUGGGUGGGGGGUGGGGGUGGGAGGCCUCCUUGAGGUAGCAGGGGUGUAUGGGACACCCUGGGGCCUGAGAAGGAAAGGCAGCAGCUAGGGGAGGACCAGGUUGAUGGCAGUGGAGAUGUAAGAACAUGGUGGAAUUUAAAUGUGCUUGCAGAUGCACUUGUAGGACUUGCUGCUUAAGUGAAUGAGGAGAGUAAAGACGAUCAAGAAUGUCUUCUAGGAUUUCUGCCUGUGCGCUGGGUGGAUGAAUAGUGGCACCUCUUACCAAGAUUGGGAAAGAAGGGGUUGUCUUCCCUCAAAGACUGAGUUUUACGGUCACAGACUGCAUCUUCUGUGCAGCCCUGGCUCCCAUCCUAGCAAGGGCCUCGCCCCUAGGUGACAGUAGUAAAUGUUGAAAUGAAUGACACUCCUGAAGCAAUCCUUCCUCCUCACCUAGGUCCACAUCCCCAACUCAGUCCCAAUAUAAGCCACAUCCAGUCCGCCUCACAGACAAGCAGAGGCCUGUGCCCAGCCAGCAGACCCCUGUGGAAUCAUAAGGCCAGCUGUUUGUGUUACUUCCAGGAGCCUGUCCCUGGAGGUUCCUCAGACUCCCAUGCACAUAUGGUUGGCAGCCUGACAGUCAUGUUGUCCACAUACAUGGCUUUUUGGUAAUUGAAGAGCCGUCUCCAGAUCAGGAAGCAGAUCACAAGAGGGGUCACACAGAGCACAGAGGAACGUCCUUUCACAGCACCAUGGCUGGAAUGCAGUGUUUCAGCUACGCUCCUAGAGCUGGACUCCCCAGCCUCCCAGCAUCCCCUGGUGGAAAAAGAGGGGCACCGUCCUCAUAAGGACCUCACCUACCUGUGUGUCGUCCUCCAUUUCUCGGCUGAGCUAAAGCCUCCAAGGACCUUCUUGGGGCUCCGGUGAACAUCUGUUCUGCUUCCAUCCCCACCCACCUGGCAUGGAGCUGGGGCUACGGGACUCCUGUCUCCACCACUGUUGUGAAUCAGAAGUCAGGGAACGGCACCAGGUACUAGUGUUAAAUAGGAACACGUUUGAAUAAAAUGUGUUUUUCUGUCUAGCAUUUUAAUGUGUCUUCCAGUGUCUUCCUUAGCAUACCCAUGCAACAUGGCUGUUCCUAAGCAGCCUUGUCCUGAGGUGCACUUAGAAGGCUCUAGGACUAAGUCCUCAUGCUCAGCUUUUAGGCAUCUCAGCAGAAAGAAGCCUGAGUGGUACUUGUACGGGUAGGUUAUAUAUUAAUGCUCACUUACUCCAUUAUCCUAAGUUCAUGAAAAAAGUUUCAAUCAAAUGCUGUCUUGCUGUAAAUGAAAAUGAGCUGAAAUUCCCCUGUAACCCACCCACCUUUUGUGGUUCCCAUUUUGCAAUCUUUCCUUCUCCAUUAGCAGGAUGGCAUCAGCCAGUGAGACUAGUCCUUCUUGCCCCUGUGAGGCAGGGUCUGUCUGCCACACAGUGGGUCCCUGGCAGAACUGGGGGAUAUCAUCCCUGCAUCUGCUCCUGGAAAGGCUGGCUGGGCAGCUCACAAGCGCCCAUGUUUGGUGGAAUGUGUGUGUUGGCAGAUCACAACCCAAGGAGAGAGUCUACAUCCUUCCAGAUGACCUCCUUCACCACGACAUUGGCUCUGCCCACACAGAGACCUCUUCCAGCUUUGGCCUUCAGGAAGCUAACAGGAGAGGUGUGGUAGGUUGUCCUGCUUUCUGCCCACCCACCCCAGCUCAUCCUAAUACCCCCAGUGGUAUUACCCUUGCAAGGGCUCAGAAUCAGACGACAGGCCGACCUAAACGUAUUUGGGUGCAGCUUUCAAAGUAAUGAACCAGACAGGGCUGCUGACAUGGUAUCUGCUGCAGUUCAUUUUCAACAGAGAUACAAAAAUUAUUAAAUGUAUAUUUUAAUAAAGCCAAUAGUUAUUUUACUUAUAGGAGCUUUAAAAGUAAGAUACAAAAUGUAGAGUUCCAGUUUGGAAGCGCUGUAACUAGUCACACGAGCAACGCAGCCACGCCUGGCCACACAAAGGACACACACACACACACGCACACACAUGCGCUUUGGCGAGACCCCUCUGCCGAGCGCAGCACCUGGAAUUACCAGUAUUCAGAGCAAGGCGGUGCUGAGAACACAGCACCUACAAGGAGACCACACAAACAGCUUCACACAGUCUCAUAGCCCGUGGAGAUGCAAUCACAAAAUGUCUUCCUUACUUGAGAAAAACAGACUGGAAAGUGACAAUUAGCAAUGUUGAUGUCACCUGCGCUGGAGCAUCAAGGACUGACCUCUGUCCAGGAUGAGGUCUUUGGGGAGGCACUAUUAAAACAAGAGUACUUCAGUAUAACAGAACUUGAAACACAGGGUACUGUAGACACAUUACUGAAGGAAAUAGAAAACUAUCUAACAAGUAAAACAGCCACGGACAACUUCAACAGUGAUUAGUGCACACACUGUGACAGCUAACACAGACAAGAGCCACGCAGGGUUGGCGCAAAGCACGUGCCUGAAAAGUCUAUGUACAAAAUAGUUCUCUGUAAACAUGGUGAGGUGACUGUUCAGAACCCACGGUGAAAGGAUCAUGAGUACAGGCAGCAAUGGCAUCCGCACACAGCACAAAAGACAACACCCGAGGCCUGGAAACAGCCUGGCAACACAGUACUAAAAAUUCAGAUGGCUGGGCUCAGACACCCUAAGGGUCCUCUAUAAUUAGUGUGUAUACGACAUAUAUAUAUAUAUUCUUUUUGGUAUUUUUAAAUAUAAAUUUACUUAUAUCCAUAGAAAAAUGAGAACAUAACUGUGUUAUUACAAUCUUUGCUGGAAAAGCUUAUAUGGAGUUAGAAAGAAUAAACCAUUUAUUAGUAGUUAACAUAUAUUAAAAUGGUUUAAUGAUUUAAGAAAAUAUAAAAAAAAUAUUAA